rnacentral:ncRNA from 1 species
CCCACAUCCGCAGCAGGUGUCCAAGGUGAACAGCCUCUAGUCGAUGGACCAAUGUAGGUAAGGGAAGUCGGCAAAACGGAUCCGUAACCUUGGGAUAAGGAUUGGCUCUGAGGACUGAGCCGGUCGGGCUGGGGACCUGAAGCAGGAACGGCACUGCACCGGGACUGGGCGGGGCUCGCCGUUCACGCGGCGCGGCCAAGCCCGGACCAGCGUCGGGACCUUCCUGUGGAAAGCCUCAGCUGCGCGGCGUCCGAGGGCUUCGUGCCCAAAGUGCUAUGCUUCGGCCGGCAAAAAACAGUCAACUCAGAACUGGCACGGACCGGGGGAAUCCGACUGUCUAAUUAAAACAAAGCAUUGCGAUGGCCGCUGGUCGGUGUUGACGCAAUGUGAUUUCUGCCCAGUGCUCUGAAUGUCAACGUGAAGAGAUUCAUCAAAGCGCGGGUAAACGGCGGGAGUAACUAUGACUCUGGCGCUCUAGUGUCGAGCCUAUCCCCGGCCGCUGCCGGCAGAUGCACGCAAACAAGGGGGUGCUAAGCUGCAGCGAGUGGGAGGACCCCAGCAGAAGCCUAGGUCCCGGAAGAAGCCACUGAUGGUGUUUACACCUAAGGCCGGCGCCGGGACACUGAUGGCGACUGCAGAGUCAGUGGACGAAGCGGGUUCCCAACGCGCUAAAGGGGCGCGGGCCAAACAGUACCAUGCCGCAGGAGCACUCCCACAAGGAAUAGUGGCGGGAGGUAUCAGCUCGCAGCCUUCUGACACCGCAGGGAGCCGAAAGGUCCACUCAACUGACUCAUUGAAGCGGACAAGGCACGAACCUAGGCAAAGUGGAUGGUCGUCAGGUGCAGCUGUCGGUGCCCCUAGGUGUGGGGAUCACCCCAUGAUGGAGCCCCGCACGGGGGAGCGCACCUCGACGACCGCCACCGUAGCAAGGAUGGUGACUGCCCCAGACAAUUGACA